UUGGGGGAUUCUACCCCCUCAGUGUCGCAGCUAACGCAUUAAGUACCCCACCUGGGGAGUACGAUCGCAAGGUUGAAACUCAAAGGAAUUGACGGGGGCCCGCACAAGCGGUGGAGCAUGUGGUUUAAUUCGAUGCAACGCGAGGAACCUUACCUGGGCUUGACAUGCAGGGGACAGGUGUAGAAAUACACUCUUCUUCGGACUCCUGUACAGGUGCUGCAUGGCUGUCGUCAGCUCGUGUCGUGAAAUGUUAGGUUAAGUCCUGCAACGAGCGCAACCCCUAUCUUUAGUUGCCAUCAGGUUAUGCUGGGGACUCUAGAGAGACUGCCGGUGACAAACCGGAGGAAGGUGGGGACGACGUCAAGUCAUCAUGGCCCUUACGCCCAGGGCUACACACGUGCUACAAUGGUCGGUACAAUGGGCAGCGAAACAGCGAUGUGGAGCGAAUCCCAAAAAGCCGGUCUCAGUUCGGAUCGUAAUCUGCAACUCGACUACGUGAAGUUGGAAUCGCUAGUAAUCGCGUAUCAGAACGACGCGGUGAAUACGUUCCCGGGCCUUGUACACACCGCCCGUCAAGUCAACCGAGUUGGUUGCACCCCAAGUCGCUGAGCUAACCCGUAAGGGAGGCAGGUGCCCAAGGUGUGAUUAGCGAGGGGGACUAAGUCGUAACAAGGUAGCCG
rnacentral:rRNA from 1 species